AACGUAGGUGGCGAGCGUUAUCCGGAUUUACUGGGCGUAAAGGGUGGUGCAGGCGGGGUAUCAAGUGGUGUAUGAAAGGGCGCGGCUCAACUGCGCUAGGUUAUGCCAGACUGAUGCUCUGGAGGACCAAACAGGGCUGUGGAAUUCCGGGUGUAGUGGUGAAAUGCGUAGAGAUCCGGAGGAACCCCAGAGGCGAAGGCGGCAGCCUGGUUGGCUCCGUGACGCUCGGACACGACAGCAUGGGGAGCGAACGGGG
rnacentral:rRNA from 1 species